CCGCCGCCUGCCUCCCAUCUGCAUCUCUCAUCGGCUCUCAUCAGAACCGAACGGAGUGCGGGACCGACCCUCUUCUUUGUUCUCUCCAAUCAAAAAGAUAAAAAAGAGGGAGGGAGAAAGAGAAAGAGGCGUCCAUCCCCCAUCGGCUCCUGAGCAUUCUCGAGAUCAUCGACUCAGUAGUUGCGCCGCCGCCGUCCAGGACCUUCUUCGCCUGUUCCCGCCGCGUCUGGUCGGUCCCUGCCCUACCCUGCUCAUGGAGGAAGAUCCAAUGGAGAGCACCUACCAACACCUGUUCCGAGACGUUUGUCCAGGAGUUGUCUUGGUCGGAAGGUUCGAUUACUUUUGUGUUGGCUCGGUUCUCCAGAGCGAAGAAGAUGAGGACACUUUCAUUCUCACACAGUCAGGUGUUGGGGGUGUGCCUUGGCUGCCACCUAAGGCUAGAGACCCUCUUUGUGUAUAAGAGUCUAAGUUAGAGGGUCUAAGGGCUAGUUUAUGAGUUCUAGGGACUUAUUUGCAACAUCUAGGGACUUGUUUGUAAACAUUAAGAACUUUUUUUGUAAUAUUCGACCCCACCAAUGAAAUAAGUAUAAAUAUCCACAUCCUCCUCCCUAUAAAUAGCCCCCAUGGGGAGGAGGUGGGAGACUCU